rnacentral:rRNA from 1 species
CCAAUAGCGUAUAUUAAAGUUGUUGCAGUUAAAAAGCUCGUAGUUGAAUUUCGGGGUCAGUAGGUCGGUCGUGCCACUGGUAUGAACUGGUUUUACUGAUUCCUCCCUCUUGAAGAACUGUAAUGCCAUUAAUUUGGUGUUGCAGGGAAUCAGGACUGUUACUUUGAAAAAAUUAGAGUGUUUAAAGCAGGCUUUAGUUUGAAUACAUUAGCAUGGAAUAAUGAAAUAGGACGUUUGAUCCUAUUUUGUUGGUUUCUAGGAUUGACGUAAUGAUUAAUAGGGAUAGUUGGGGGCAUUAGUAUUCAAUUGUCAGAGGUGAAAUUCUUGGAUUUAUUGAAGACUAACUACUGCGAAAGCAUUUGCCAAGGAUGUUUUCAUUAAUCAAGAACGAAAGUUAGGGGAUCGAAGACGAUCAGAUACCGUCGUAGUCUUAACCAUAAACUAUGCCGACUAGGGAUCGGAUGAUGUUAAUUUUUUAAUGACUCAUUCGGCGCCUUACG